AGCGCGCGCAGGCGGUUUCUCAAGUCCUGAAUGUGAAAUCCCACGGCUCAACCUGGGAGCUGCAUUUGGAAACUGGGGAGCUUGAGUCGCUGAAGAGAGGGGUAGAAUUCCACGUGUAGCGGUGAAAUGCGUAGAGAUGUGGAGGAACACCAGUGGCGAAGGCGGCUUUUUGGUCUGUAACUGACGCUGAGGCGCGAAAGCGUGGGGAGCAAACAGGAUUAGAUACCCUGGUAGUCCACGCCGUAAACGAUGACUGCUUGGUGUUAGAGGGUUUCCGCCCUUUAUUGCUGAACCUAACGCAUUAAUCACUCCGCCGGGGGAGUACGGUCGCAAGACUGAAACUCAAUGGAAUUGACGGGGGCCCGCACAACCGGUGAACCAUGUGGUUUAAUUCAAACCAACGCGAAAAACCUUACCACGUCUUGACUUCCUCUGACUUCUCUAAAAAUAUAUCGUUCCCCUUCGAACUACAGAAUGACAGGUGGUGCAUGGUUGUCGUCUCCUCGUGUCAUGAGAUGU
rnacentral:rRNA from 2 species